UGCUGGGUCCUCCCCUCAGAGCUUCUCAACCAUGUUUGGGAUGGUCUAGGGAUGAAACUGCUGGACAGCUGAGCCAUGGAGACUGGGGAGAGGCCUGCCUGGCUGAGACCAAGCCCUGCUGUACCAUCUGCAUUUGACAGUGAGGAUGCCCAUUGACAGGAAGCAGACGUAGAGAAAAGGAGAAUCAGAAUGAUCGACAGGCUUCAAAUCCUACCUCUAACACUUAACUACGUUCCGCACGUUUGGUCUCGGGCAGGCCAGUUAACUCAUCAAGACCCCAUUUUCACCCCCCUGAAAAGUGGCAUAGUAACUCAGUUCUAUUGAGUUACUGAGGACUGGCCCACAAAGAGACAAGCAAUGCCAGGAUAAGCCCCCCUACAAAAUGGGUAACAGAAGAUGACCUUGAACUCCUGACAUCCCAAUUUCUACCUCCUGAGCGCUGAGACUGUAGGUGGCCUAAUUGUUUCUAAAGUAGAAUGGAUCUGAAGUUCCUGAACUUGCGUGCAAGCGUUUGACAGAGGCUGAUGAGAGAUUCCUGUCACUGUGUGUGUGCCGAAGUUCUCUGGAACUGGGACCGGUGAUAUUGAUCUGACCCUCUGCAGUGUUCCGAGGGCUUGCUUACCCACUCCAAGUCUGUGAGUCCUAAUGAAGCAGAGCUAAGUCCGCUGAAGACCACCUUUGGGAGAUCCUGGAGUGGCUGCUCCCUGAAGAGAGUCCUGGUCCUAGGAAUCUGGGAUUCUACCUGAAGUCCCAAAGAUGAACAAAUGGUAGAGAGGCACCUGACUGAGCCUGCUUCCUAACCGACUUCUCAGAACUGCCUGCCGCUGGGCUGCCUAACAGAAGCUCAAGUUCUGGGAUUCCACCCUUGAAGAGAACUGAAUCUGCACUUAACUUAGUGCGCCCUGUAGGUCAGGACAUGUAGUUCUUGCUACCCUGAAGCUCACUAUGUACGACAGACUGGCCCCAACACACUGAGAUCUGCGUGGUUCUGUCUCCCCGGUGCUGAGAUCAAAGGCACGUGUAUAGUUAGGGCACAGGACUUUUACUUAUAUGUUAUGGCUCUAGGUUUGUUUUCAUGGGAUUCCUGAUUGUGCCAGCAAUUGGGUCUCUGUGUCUACAUCUGUUUCUUUUGCCUUUUCUUUGACUCCCUCUCUUUUGUUUGUUUCGUUUGCCCUAUUCUGAUGUGUUAGUUUUUGUUUUAUCUUAUUAUAUUUUAUUAUUAUUCAUCAAGUGCCCUUCUGUUUUCUGAAGAGAAACAGAAAGGUGGUGAAUUUGCAUGGGGUGGGAGGCAUAGGAGAACUGGGAGGAGUAAAGAGAGAAGAGAUCAUAAUCAGGAUAUAUUGUAUGAAAAAAAAAACCAGACUAUUUUCAAUAAAACUACAACAAAAAAUGAAGAACAAAAAUAAUCCCACAAGAAGGAAGAGUAACCUUGAACUUAUGGUUCUCUCUGCUUAAGCUUCAUGAGUGUUGGUAGUGUGGGAUUGCACCAUGAGGAAGAUACUGUGGUGGGAUAGAACAGAUUGUGACAGAAAACUAAAAAGUCUCAACCAGAAGAAUUAGAAAGAAAGCAAGAAAGCAAGGAAGGAAGGAAGGAAAGAAGGAAGGAAGGAAGGAUGGGAAAAAGAAAGAAAGAAAGAGAGAGAGAGAGAGAGA
rnacentral:lncRNA from 1 species